rnacentral:rRNA from 1 species
AUUCCAGCUCCAAUAGCGUAUAUUAAAGUUGUUGCGGUAAAAAAGCUCGUAGUUGGAUUUCUGUUGAGAACGACCGGUCCACUCAACGAGUGCGCAUCUGGUUCGGUCUCGGCAUCCUCUCAAAAAACGACUCUGCGCUUGAUUGCGUGGAUCGGAGUUUGGGACUUUUACUUUGAGGAAAUUAGAGUGUUCACGGCAGGCUAUCGCCAGAAUACAUUAGCAUGGAAUAAUACUAUAGGAUCUUGAUCCUAUUUUGUUGGUUUCUAGGAGCAAGAUAAUGAUUAAUAGGGACAAUUGGGGGCAUUCGUAUCAACACGUCAGAGGUGGAAUUCUUGGAUUGUGUUGCGACGAACUACUGCGAAAGCAUUUGCCAAGGAUGUUUUCAUCA